GACCUGUGCUCUUCUGACUAGUUUAAGAAGACUGGCUGAAGCUCUGCCCAAACAAUCUGUGGAUGGAAGCGCAGCACUUGCUACCGGAGAGCAUGAUGAUGAUGAAGAGCGUGCGUGUAGGGAAAGAG